GAAGUAUACUAUUCAUUAAGCUGUGUCUGUAGCUAAGUCUGUGUGUCUAAAUUAAAGAAAAACAUGUAAGUUGCUUUUAUCACUAAUAAUAAGAGACUUAGCCAGAGGCUGAUAAUACUACAAUACUACAUCGAAUUUGGAACCCCACAUGGAUGUGCAUUCACAUUUACAUAGCUAUUAAGGAGAUACAACAUCAAAACAAAGCUGGAUUUAAAAAGCAUCAUAUUGCAGAGUGACACAACUUUUUUAUUCUAUAAAAUGUUGGUAUCAUGUGUCAUUUAGUGUCACUAUGAUUUUUAAAGCACUUUGCACUCUUGUAUGAGUUAACAUCCAGGUAUUUACCUCCUAAUUUUAUGAGAAAUAUGCUGAAUCCAUAUGCCACAGGGUCUGUUUACUAAAUGAAUGGUCAGGGUCACAGAUAUACAGAAAAUUAAAUGACAGAAAAUUAAAUGUCUAUUUACAUAUACAGUAAAUACAGUUAUUCUCAUCAACAAAAUAGAAAGACAAUAGUAAAAAUAUGGCAAGGUUUUAACUAAGAGUGACAGUAUAAUUUAUAUUAGAUAUAUAAUAGCAGAGAAUACUCAGAAAAUCUGGAUGUGAAUCCUAAAUCAAUUUGGUUUCAUAAUUUGGUAUCAUAGAGAUUCAGAAGGACAAAAGAAAGUAUAUUUUAUUCUUGAAAAAAAAAAGUGACAGAUAUAUUUAAGCUAUGUCAUGACUGGUAUAUAGUUUAUUAAAUAUGCCAUGUCACAGAGGAAGGAACAUGGACUGGGCCCAGUUCUGGUGACAGGUAGAGGUGGGCAAUCACUUAAUGCACCUUAGGCCUAAAUUUCCUUAUUUGUUCAAUGAGGGGGGUGAACAGCAUAAUCCUUAAUACCCAUUUUAGCUCUGAAAUUCUAUUGCUCAGAGAUAUCCUCACAUCUCACAUUUUUCAUGAAACUAUAUUACAGGGUAGUUAAUGUUUUCUUCAGAUGCUUUUAAAGUGUUUAUAAUUUAAUCAUGAAAUUGCACUGUGGCCUGAGGCCUGACUACAAAUUCCACAUAUACUAGGAUUAACUCUUCAAGAUAAAAAAUUAACCAACAAGAAUUCUGAUAAUACCUUGCACCAUUUACUAAAACAACAACCAGAAGUGACUAUGUGAUAUUUAGGGUCACAACUCAAUUACUCAAUUAUCACUCAAUAACAAAAACACUUUUGUUGAAAUCAUUAAAUACGCCCAAUAACAAGCAAAUGCACAGAGAGGUAAAUACAAGUAUAUUUAUUUUGAAUCACUGUAUUAAAAAAAAAGACUGGAAACAAUCUAAAUACACACAAGAAAGGGCUAUACACAUUGUAAUAUACCCAGGAUUAAUCGUAGGAUAGAAGUGAUUUAUUGCUCUUCUUUUAUAUUUCUCUAUACUUUCCAAAUUAUCUCAAUGAACACAUGCCAAUUUUGUGACCAUAAGAAGUUACACAUAUUUCAAAAACAACUGCACAUGACUAUCACAUUUUUUCAGAUAUUAAAGUUCCAGAAAGUAGAACCAUAUGCACCCAUUAAAAGCAAUGACAAAAUAGAGGUUGUCACAUAUGAUUCAUAUGGAACAAUUUCCAAGAAUUCUCAGCUCAAUGGGCAUAGUGUUCUACCAUUUGCACAGAAAGGAAAAACCAAAAAUGAGAUAUGGUAUGUGUAUAGACUGUCUCUGAAUGUGUAUAGAAGAAAAUGGUUAACAACAGCUGCCUCUGGGGAAAGGAAGUGGAGUAAGAGAAAACAUACUUUAAAAAAUUCUUUUAGUAUACUUUGAAAUUUUUGUCCAUGAGGAUGCACUAUCUAUUUAUAUUUAAAAAGCUAAAUCUUCUAGGGACGCCUGGGUGGCUCAGUCAGCGAAGUGUCCAAUUCUUGAUUUCGGCUCAGGUCAUGAUCUCAAGUUUGUGAGAUCAAGUCCUGCAUCCAGCUCUGCAGUGACAGCAAGGAGCCUGCUUGGGAUUUUCUGUCUCCCUUUCUCUCUGCCCCUACCCCAUGUAUGUGCAUACCUUCUCUCUUCAAAAAAAAAAAAAAAAACCUAAAUUUUCUAAAGAACAAAUGAACUAUGAAAAAAAAUGUUCAAUUGGAUAUGUAGAUACACAAACAUGCAUAGAAAAAAGACUAGAAGGAAAUUUGCCAACAUACCUUUAGAUAGUAGGAUAGAAGUGAUUUAUUGCUCUUCUUUUAUAUUUCUCUAUAUUUUCCAAAUUAUCUCAAUGAACACAUGCCAAUUUUGUGACCAUAAGAAGUUACACAUAUUUCAAAAACAAAUGCACAUGACUAUCACAUUUUUUCAGAUAUUAAAUAAAGUCCAUGCUGUGCAAAUGUCUGUAUCUUUAUCAAAGUUCUGAAACUGUUUCAUGCUGGAAUUCCAUACAUGUGCUCCAGACUCACCCUUAAGUUAUAUGAAGGAUCCUUAAGACUCAAAUUUGGGAGAGAUGCCUGGAGUGCACUUAUAUAACUUGUUUCACCUCCUUGAGCUAUAAGCAGGAGAGAGGUAUGGAGUUAAGAUUUAUAAGUUACUAUCAAAUGCAUAUUCAACAAUGGCUCA
rnacentral:lncRNA from 1 species